UACGUAGGUGGCGAGCGUUAUCCGGAAUUAUUGGGCGUAAAGAGCGUGUAGGCGGUCUGUUAAGUCUGGUGUGAAAUCUAGUGGCUCAACCACUAAAUUGCAUUGGAUACUGGCAAACUAGAAUACGGGAGAGGUAAGUGGAAUUCCAUGUGUAGCGGUGGAAUGCGUAGAUAUAUGGAGGAGCACCAAUGGCGAAGGCAGCUUACUGGACCGAGAUUGACGCUGAGACGCGAAAGCGUGGGUAGCAAACAGG
rnacentral:rRNA from 1 species